GUCUGGAAAGCUCUCUCGCUCUCUCUCUCUCUCUCUCUCUCCCCUUUGGUUGUUGCGGCGUUCUCUGGCCGACCUCCGUAAGAGCAUCCGGGUUAGGGUUGAGGUUGGACCGGUGAGCUCGUCGCCUUCGCCCUCGCCACUCUUCCAGUUCUAGAUCGCCGCGGCGCCAUUCCGAUCGGGCACUGGAUGCAGAUCGAUCCCCUCACUCUCAGAGAGUUCUAGGGUUCGUGGCUUUGUUUCACAAUUUUUUCCCAAAUUGGCCGAGAUCUGAUUUGUUCUUCCUCGGAAACAUGGUCCGUGCCAUUCGUCAUUCUCUAGUUGAAAAAGUUCGCAUCUUUCGUCUCCCAGAAGAAAGCCAUGCGGCAACCCGGCAUGUGAAGCUUCUGUUUGAGAGAUCCAAGGAGAAGUAGGGCUUUUCAAUCUGAGAAAAGCCAAUUCAUAAGAUGAAGUCUAAUCAUGUACAAACUCAUCUACGUCUAUUACAAUCAAACUUA